AAAAGUGUAAGUAGUCAAACAUCAAACAAAGUACCUCUCAUCCUCAUCGUCAAAUUAAAAUGUUCCCAGCCACGAUCCGGUGCUCACGUGGGACCAUCGGUCCACAUCCAGCCGCUGUCCUGUCUGGAUUCAUGCUGUCAAUUUGGCCCACCUGGUAUCCUCUCUUGUACCAUUUCCUCCGGUUCUCUCCAGUUUCUCUGUAGUCGCAUCUGGUUAUUCAGCACUUUCCUUGAGCUCUAUUUUGUAUAAUGCACCUUCAACUCAAUUGAUUACAGCCCAACGAAUGAUGUAUUAAGAAAAAAAUAGCAGCGACAGUCCAUAAUCUAUUAUUCUCAUUGCAUUCUCACACUCAACCUUUGAAACAAAACAUUUUGCUCCCAACCUUCUAAUUUUUGCUGCACCAAUAAUAUAUCUCUCUCUCACUCUCUCUCUUUCAUUUGAAUACUUAUAUAGAGCUUAUUUGGUGAGAGAUUUUGUUAAUUGAUUUUUUGACCGUUAGAUAUAAAAUGGGUCUUACCUGUGAAAGAAGAAUUCAAAAAUGACGACAAGAAUAGUGAAAUAACGAUCAAAAAAUUAAUUUUAAUUUACUUAACAUCCCUACCAAAGAAACGCAUAGGAAGAAUGACAAUGAGAAAACAAUUUCUGAGGUCUAAUAAAACUCACUCCAAUCAUGUCUGCAAUAAGGAGAGGAUUAAUAGAGUUGAAUGAUUUUUCUUAACAGUCAUAUAUUCAUCUUGCAUUUUUCUUGAGUUAGCGAGGUGUUUUGCUCAACUAUUGCACUUAAGUAGCACCAAUUAUCUCAAAAGAUGAUUUUAUGUCAAAAUUACCUUUCAAUGACAUGUAAGGCAUGUCCUUUUUUUGGGAUAAAUUAA
rnacentral:lncRNA from 1 species